GGAAUGAGUACAAUCUAAAUCCUUUAACGAGGAUCGAUUGGAGGGCAAGUCUGGUGCCAGCAGCCGCGGUAAUUCCAGCUCCAAUAGCGUAUGCUAAAGCUGCUGCGGUUAAAAAGCUCGUAGUUGGAUCUCAGUUGCGGGCGGGUGGUGCAUCUACCCGAUGUGACAGCCCGAUCUGAACAUCUUGCCUUCUAUCCUCUGGUGUCCUUCACUGGAUGCCUUUGGGUGGUCGGUGCAUUUACUUUGAAAAAAUUGGAGUGCUCAAUGCAGGCGAAGUGCCUGAACACUUAUGCAUGGAAUAAUAGAACAAGACCCCGUUUCUGUUCUGUUGGUUUUUGGAAAACGAGGUAAUGAUCAAGAGGGACAGACGGGGGCAUUCGUAUUGCGGCGCUAGAGGUGAAAUUCUUGGACCGUCGCAAGACGAACUACAGCGAAAGCAUUUGCCAAGAAUGUUUUCAUUGAUCAAGAACGAAAGUUAGAGGUUCGAAGGCGAUCAGAUACCGCCCUAGUUCUAACCAUAAACGAUGCCAACCAGCAAUCCGCCUGAGUUACUCCAAUGACUCUGCGGGCAGCUUCCGGGAAACCAAAGUAUUUGGGUUCCGGGGGAAGUAUGGUUGCAAAGCUGAAACUUAAAGGAAUUGACGGAAGGGCACCACCAGGAGUGGAGCCUGCGGCUCAAUUUGACUCAACACGGGAAAACUUACCCGGCCCGGACACUGGGAGGAUUGACAGAUUGAGAGCUCUUUCUUGAUUCG
rnacentral:rRNA from 1 species